CCGCCCCCACCGACACGGUCGCCCUCUGCUGGCUUCCCUGCGGGGAUGUCCAUAUUGGCGGCUUUCCUGCGACAGAUUGAUUGCGCAGGAUAGGUGGGGGUGUUUUA
rnacentral:sRNA from 1 species